UACGUAGGGUGCGAGCGUUAAUCGGAUUUACUGGGCGUAAAGAGCGCGCAGGCGGUCGUGCAAGUCGCGUGUGAAAGCCCCCGGCUCAACUGGGGAGGGUCACGCGAUACUGCUCGACUCGAAGGCAGGAGAGGGAAGUGGAAUUCCCGGUGUAGUGGUGAAAUGCGUAGAUAUCGGGAGGAACACCAGUGGCGAAGGCGACUUCCUGGCCUGUUCUUGACGCUGAGGCGCGAAAGCUAGGGUAGCAAACGGG
rnacentral:rRNA from 1 species